CAUCUCCACCUGUUCUUUCUGUGUUGUCCUUUGUUGGAUCAGUCUGUGUUGUGGUCCUACUGGUGUUACUGGUUCUGCUGGUGAGAGGAUGUGUUCACGGGAAACUUGAAGAUAAAGAAGAUGGAGACGAUGACAUUGACACCACAAACAGUUAUGAUACAUCACCAAAUCAACAACAACAUCCAUUCAAACGAACCAGAGAGACUGAUUCAGCUGUGAUCUACUCAGCAGUGAGAACUGAAGACGUCAGUUAUGGACAAACAACCAUCAGAACAAGGAGGCCCAGACUUUAAACCAGAGCCAGACGUCGUCUACUCUUCACUGAAGUAGUCCACCAGUCCAACCACUGACGUCCAGCUGCUGGUCUCUAACUGGUCCCCCCAGCACCUCAGACCAGAGUCCCUCUGACCAUCCAUCCAUCUUCUUAUGUGUAUCCAUGGCCAGAUUGUGGGGGCAGCAGCCAAAGCAAAGAAGCCCAGAACUCCCUCUCUGUCCUGGCUCCUCCUCAUUGUGGGCCAGUUUUGACCCUAUUUACCACCACAGUGAAUUUUAACUUGAACAAUCAGGAUGUGACUGUAGUGUAGACUUCAGUCCUUAAUUAAAGACAUUUAAGUAAAGUACUGUGUUACCUGUUAGGAAUUACAGCAAUUUUAUAGAUAGUCCUGCAUUCACAGAGGCAAAAAAGUAAUGGAACAACUUACUGAUAGGAGUUUCAUGGUCAGGUAAAGUCUGCUCCCUUGUUCCAUCGAUCCAUGUUGAAUGUAUAAUUUAUAGCUUUUCACUGUUUUUACUAUGUUCAGUGUGAGGUCUCAAGAGAUGUCAGUGCAAGUGACAAUGAACCCAUCAGAGAGAGCAAAACUGCAGGAGUGACCAAAUCAACAAUAUGAUGCAUCAUUAAACAGAAUGAAUCCACUGACCAGCUGAGCCACAUUGAAAGGCCCAGGAAAGUGCAUGAUGACAGAAUUAUUGUCAUGUUUAAGAAAAACAACUACACAACAUGAUUCCAAGUCAAAAACAGCAAGAGGAUGCAGGCGUGUCAUUGUCAAACUCUAUAAUCAAAUGCUUUCAACAAGGUACAAACCACUGUGCUGGUUCAGGAGAUGGUUACACAGAAGCUACAUUUAAAGAAAGUGUCCUCAUUCAACCAAUUAUGGACCUAAAUCCAAGUUUUUUCUUGGGCUCAGAUCACAAUACUGCUUAUUUUCUAUACAUACUUUCAUUUUACAGAAUCCAAUUAAAGUUCCAGUUGUUCUGUGUCCUCAGUAACAUCAUCACUUAUAUUGUAUUCAUGUUUUUUAGCUCUUGUUUCCACAGCAGGAGUUUAGUUUCUCAAAUAAACUUUUGUUCACAAAUGUUUUUUCUUGUGUGGGUCUGUGGGUUUCACAGAGGUGUCAGAUGAUUGUGGUUUGGUGGUGACUAACAAAUACACAUCUGUACUCUCUACAGAAAACUAAUAAACAUUAAACCACAACCACAGACCAGAAACAGCAGAAAGAUCAGUCAGUGGCUGCAGCACAGGAUGCAUCUGUUUGAUACUGAAGAGUUUUAUUUUAGUUUUUUUA